CCUAUGGGGAUCGAUCUGCGAACGCCCCGUGAGGCGUCAGCCAGAGGUUCGCAUGUUUCCAGACGUAAAAGGAUGCAUGCUAUG
rfam:Sulfitobacter donghicola DSW-25 = KCTC 12864 = JCM 14565 contig10_scaffold10, whole genome shotgun sequence.